rnacentral:rRNA from 1 species
CCCCUAGUAAUGGCGAAUGAAGCGGGCGUAGCUCACGCUGCCAAUCUGGAGGCCGUUGUCUGUGCCUCCCGAAUUGUGGUCUAGGAAGGCGCCAUCGGCCGCGCGCGUCGCCGAAAUCCCUUGGAAGAGGGUAUCGGAGAAGGUGAGAAUCCUGUGCCGUGGCGCGUGGCGGCCUCACGAUGCGUCCUUGUCGAGUCGGGUUGCUUGGGAUUGCAGCUUGAAGUGGGUGGUAAAUUCCAUCUAAAGCUAAAUAGUGGCGAGAGACCGAUAGCGAACAAGUACCGUGAGGGAAAGAUGCAAAGAACUUUGAAAAGAGAGUCAAAGAGUGCUUGAAAUUGGCAGGAGGAAACCCGGUUGCGCCCGGCGUCGGCGCGUCGACUCAGCCGCGUGCGCGCUCGUCCUGUGCGGACCGCAAGGCCGCUUUGGGUUUGGUGUGUGUGCGGUGCACUUUGACGCGCCGGGUCAGCUUUCGCUGCGUGCUUCGUGAGAUGCCGUAGGGUGAGGCCUUGUGCGAUCCCAUUCGGAGCGUCGCGGCCGCGGCGGAUGUUUAGUUGAGCUGACGGAACGGGCGCCACCGACCCGUCUAGAAACACGGACCAAGGAGUCUGACACGUGUGCGAGUACCCGGGUGUGGAAUGCCCGCGUGCGGAAUGAAAGUGAAGGGCAUGCCCUGCCAACCGACCUUGAGCUGCUGCGAAGGGUUUGAGUGGAGCACGUGUGUCGGGACCCGAAAGAUGGUGAACUAUGCCUGAGGAGGGUGAAGCCAGAGGAAACUCUGGUGGAGGCUCGUAGCGAUACUGA